rnacentral:rRNA from 1 species
UUCCCACGGUUCCCGUGACGCAGCUAACGCAUUAAGUUCCCCGCCUGGGGAGUACGGCCGCAAGGCUAAAACUCAAAGGAAUUGACGGGGACCCGCACAAGCGGCGGAGCAUGCGGAUUAAUUCGAUGCAACGCGAAGAACCUUACCAAGGCUUGACAUAUAGAGGAAACGGCUGGAAACAGUCGCCCCGCAAGGUCUCUAUACAGGUGGUGCAUGGUUGUCGUCAGCUCGUGUCGUGAGAUGUUGGGUUAAGUCCCGCAACGAGCGCAACCCUCGUUCUAUGUUGCCAGCACGUAAUGGUGGGAACUCAUGGGAUACUGCCGGGGUCAACUCGGAGGAAGGUGGGGAUGACGUCAAAUCAUCAUGCCCCUUAUGUCUUGGGCUUCACGCAUGCUACAAUGGCCGGUACAAAGGGCUGCAAUACCGUGAGGUGGAGCGAAUCCCAAAAAGCCGGUCCCAGUUCGGAUUGAGGUCUGCAACUCGACCUCAUGAAGUCGGAGUCGCUAGUAAUCGCAGAUCAGCAACGCUGCGGUGAAUACGUUCCCGGGUCUUGUACACACCGCCCGUCAAGUCAUGAAAGUCGGUAACACCUGAAGCCGGUGGCCCAACCC